rnacentral:tRNA from 1 species
UCCAGGGUAGCCUAGUGGACAUGGCAUCUGCCCGGUAAGCGGAACGUUGUGGGUUCGAUUCCCGCCCCCGGAC